GAUGAACGCUGGCGGCGUGCCUAAUACAUGCAAGUCGAGCGAACGGACGAGAAGCUUGCUUCUCUGAUGUUAGCGGCGGACGGGUGAGUAACACGUGGAUAACCUACCUAUAAGACUGGGAUAACUUCGGGAAACCGUAGCUAAUACCGGAUAAUAUUUUGAACCGCAUGGUUCAAAAGUGAAAGACGGUCUUGCUGUCACUUAUAGAUGGAUCCGCGCUGCAUUAGUUAGUUGGUAAGGUAACGGCUUACCAAGGCAACGAUGCAUAGCCGACCUGAGAGGGUGAUCGGCCACACUGGAACUGAGACACGGUCCAGACUCCUACGGGAGGCAGCAGUAGGGAAUCUUCCGCAAUGGGCGAAAGCCUGACGGAGCAACGCCGCGUGAGUGAUGAAGGUCUUCGGAUCGUAAAGCUCUGUUAUUAGGGAAGAACAUAUGUGUAAGUAACUGUGCACAUCUUGACGGUACCUAAUCAGAAAGCCACGGCUAACUACGUG
rnacentral:rRNA from 1 species